AGAGUUGAUUAUGGCUCAGAACGAACGCUGGCGGCGCGUUUAAGCAUGCAAGUCGAGCGGCAAGGGCCUCGGGCCCCUAGAGCGGCGGACGGGUGAGUAACACGUGGACAAUCUCGCCCCCCGGCCCGGGAUAGCCCAGGGAAACCUGGAUUAAUACCGGAUGAGACGGGACCUGCGAUGGCGGGAUCCGGGAAAGGCGCUACGGCGCCGCCGGGGGAUGAGUCUGCGUCCCAUUAGCUAGACGGCGGGGUAACGGCCCACCGUGGCGACGAUGGGUAGCCGGCCUGAGAGGGUGGACGGCCACAUUGGAACUGAGACACGGUCCAGACUCCUACGGGAGGCAGCAGCUAAGAAUCUUCCGCAAUGGACGAAAGUCUGACGGAGCAACGCCGCGUGAGUGAAGUAAAGGUUUUCGGAUCGUAAAACUCUGUUGUCAGAGAAGAACAAGUUGGAGAGUAACUGCUCCAGCCUUGACGGUAUCUGACCAGAAAGCCACGGCUAACUACGUGCCAGCAGCCGC
rnacentral:rRNA from 1 species